rnacentral:lncRNA from 1 species
CUCGACUAUAGUAAAAAGAUCUAAAAAUAAGUUCAUGAAAUAGGUUUCAUAUAGGGAUAAAAGGCUGCAAAAUUAGGGCUUGAAAAUACUUUAUAAAAGUAGCAAAAAACUAAAAAUAGUAGAAGCAAACAAAAUAAUGAAAAUAAAAAAAGUGCAGCACCACGGUUUCGAACCAGGCUGCUAGGGUCCUCUGUUCCAGCGCUUUGGCUCCAUAAACCACUUGGGUUGUCAUGUGUACCCUCAGCCACAAUUCCACUAUUUUGUGUUCUUCUAUUCUUCUCAUGGUUCACAGUGUGGAAUCGAACACCAUUAACAAGACAUGCUGAAAAAAUUCGAACUCGCAGAUUAGGCUCACAUGACAGUGCAAAUAGGUCAUCAUUUAUGUCUUGGUUCUCCACGUAACGCAGUUUUGCAAU